rnacentral:misc_RNA from 1 species
GCCAUGGAAGGGUAUCUAAGGCUCAUUCCCUCCAAUGCCUCGUUAGUUUCUACCUACUCUUCUAUCUCAACAUCCUGGCUACUCUUCAAGACUGCAUAUAAUCAGGUCAUACCAAAACAGCUUCAAGAAUACGUUUUCUCAAAAUUCAGGUACUACUUCAAUCGUAACCCAUCUUAUGCCACUUUCAUCAUCGAGGACUUUUGGUGUGGACUUGGUCGUAAUCAGCUUUAUGAUGCUGCAAGAGCUUAUUUAUCUACUAAGAUUGGACCCGAGAAUCAUAAAAUCAAAGUUGGCAAGUUAGAGCAUCACAAGAAUGUGUCUGCCGCCAUUGUAGAAGGAGGAAAAAUUAUAGAUGUAUUCCAGGACAUAACCAUCACCUGGCGGUGUACCCAAGAAGAGCAAGGCACUAGCAUCGACAACUGGAAAAGCAAAAAUAAGACGAUGAUGCUUCAGGGCCAGACUCCCAGCAAAAGUUCCUACCAGAUAACUUUUGAUAACAAAUAUCGGGGAAGAGUUCAGAAUGAUUAUUUGAACCACGUUUUGAACACUUACGAGGCCUUGAUGCAUGGGGAAAAGGUUUUGAAGCUCUACACUCGGCUUGAUAGAUAUGAAGGUGAAAGAUGGAAAUCUGUUG